rnacentral:piRNA from 1 species
AAUAAAUUUGGAUUGCCGUGCAAGGGCUUG